UACGUAGGUGGCAAGCGUUGUCCGGAAUUAUUGGGCGUAAAGCGCGCGCAGGUGGUUUCUUAAGUCUGAUGUGAAAGCCCACGGCUCAACCGUGGAGGGUCAUUGGAAACUGGGGAACUUGAGUGCAGGAGAGAAGAGUGGAAUUCCACGUGUAGCGGUGAAAUGCGUAGAGAUCCGGAGGAACACCAGAGGCGAAGGCGGCCUACUGGGUCAGUACUGACGCUGAGCCGCGAAAGCCAGGGGAGCGAACGGG
rnacentral:rRNA from 1 species